rnacentral:lncRNA from 1 species
GUGAGCAGGAGGAGGAGAGGCUGAGCUGGACAUGCAGGGCAGUCCAUGUUGGCUGCAAAGCAUGGUGAUGGUGGCCCCUGCCCCAAGGGCCUCUCACUGAGGCCAGCAGCUCAGCUGCUGCAGGUCCGAGUGGACCCUGUGGCACAUGGGGCCCUCCCCGCACUGCGGCAGACGGUGCUACAGCUAUGAGGAUGAGACUGGGGCUGCAGGAGCAGCCGAUUCCCAGUCUCCCCCUGCAGGAAAGACCGGGAGACUGUCCCCAUGGUCUCACCGGCCCUGUGCAUGGUGACCUGAGCCUCCGGGGGAGUGGCCGGGCGCCCUGUGGGGCGUCCUGUAGCGAAUUUGUCUCUGGGAGAAGAGCAGAGAUGAAGGUCUCCGUGCCACAGCCCAGGCCGUGCGCAUUUGUGUUGACCUUGGCCACAGGCCGACGGCGCGUCUGCGAGGUCUCUGCAUUGCAAGGCCCUUCUCCUCCUGAACUGAAGGCCUUCCUCCUCCUUUCCCCUCCUGAUUCUCUCGCCCUCCUGGUGCAUCCAGGUGCCC